UACGGGGGGUGCGAGCGUUGUCCGGAAUCACUGGGCGUAAAGGGCGCGUAGGUGGUUUGAUAAGGGUGUGGUGAAAGUCCGGGGCUCAACCCCGGAUCUGCCGUGCCGACUGUCAAACUCGAGGGCUGUAGAGGCAGGCGGAAUUCCGGGUGUAGCGGUGGAAUGCGUAGAGAUCCGGAGGAAGACCGGUGGCGAAGGCGGCCUGCUGGGCAGUUUCUGACACUGAUGCGCGACAGCGUGGGGAG
rnacentral:rRNA from 1 species